rnacentral:rRNA from 1 species
CAUGCAGUCGACGAUGACCACUUCGGUGGGGAUUAGUGGCGAACGGGUGAGUAACACGUGGGCAAUCUGCCCUUCACUCUGGGACAAGCCCUGGAAACGGGGUCUAAUACCGGAUAUGAGCCUGGGAGGCAUCUCCUGGGUUGUAAAGCUCCGGCGGUGAAGGAUGAGCCCGCGGCCUAUCAGCUUGUUGGUGAGGUAAUGGCUCACCAAGGCGACGACGGGUAGCCGGCCUGAGAGGGCGACCGGCCACACUGGGACUGAGACACGGCCCAGACUCCUACGGGAGGCAGCAGUGGGGAAUAUUGCACAAUGGGCGAAAGCCUGAUGCAGCGACGCCGCGUGAGGGAUGACGGCCUUCGGGUUGUAAACCUCUUUCAGCAGGGAAGAAGCGAAAGUGACGGUACCUGCAGAAGAAGCGCCGGCUAACUACGUGCCAGCAGCCGCGGUAAUACGUAGGGCGCAAGCGUUGUCCGGAAUUAUUGGGCGUAAAGAGCUCGUAGGCGGCUUGUCACGUCGAUUGUGAAAGCCCGAGGCUUAACCUCGGGUCUGCAGUCGAUACGGGCUAGCUAGAGUGUGGUAGGGGAGAUCGGAAUUCCUGGUGUAGCGGUGAAAUGCGCAGAUAUCAGGAGGAACACCGGUGGCGAAGGCGGAUCUCUGGGCCAUUACUGACGCUGAGGAGCGAAAGCGUGGGGAGCGAACAGGAUUAGAUACCCUGGUAGUCCACGCCGUAAACGGUGGGAACUAGGUGUUGGCGACAUUCACGUCGUCGGUGCCGCAGCUAACGCAUUAAGUUCCCCGCCUGGGGAGUACGG